rnacentral:lncRNA from 1 species
AGUUCAGAACUCGAUACUUGAUCGUGGGUCAAUGAUCUUCACUUUUGACAGAUAUGGUGGAAAGAAUCUUUGCUAAUUGCUCACAGCCGCAUAUGCAUCCGACUUCUAUGAAAAGUUCACUCAAAGCUUCGAUCUGAUCGAUCUUCUCGAGAGUGCUGGCUCAUGCGAAGACCUUUCGAUUGACCAAUCUAGAUCCUUUCUUC